GGUGGCUUGGCUCAGUGGUUAGAGCUUAGGUCUCGUGAUCGGGAGUCCCGGGUUCGAAUCUCGCUAGAGGCGG
rnacentral:tRNA from 1 species